AUUGCCUUGGACUUAACACAUGUUCCUUGUCCUGGCUGCUGUCACUUCACUUUCACCAGAUGGUGUGCUUCCUGGAGGCACAGGUUCUGUCUUUCAUUAAGACUUGACCCAUCUCAGGACAUGCCAAAGGAAGUAUCUUGUUUUUGAUUUCUUGGAAGAGGAAGCACACUGGGCAAGGGGCAUGAGCCAGGAUGAAGUGGACUCCUUGUCUGGAGGUGCUGCUACAUACCUUGGAGGGGCUCAUGGGAGCUACUGAGAAUGUCCCCUAAGUCAGUAUUCCUGCAUCAUCUGAAAUGCCCGUCUUCAGCCUCAUCUACUGCACACUUGAGUCCAUGAGAUUUUAGAGUGCCCCUCCACCUACCUUCUACCUGGAGCCUUCCUUCCCAGGUCCUUCUUCAACACCAGCUCCAGGAUCUGCAAGACCUUUGGGUAUGGCCUCUGCAGAAGGAAGGAGAACCACUUCCUGGAGAAGCAGGAGUGAGCCAGGAUCUGCUGUGGGAUCUGCUGUGGGAGAGAGCCGGGACCCCAGGGCGUGGGGCAAGGCGAGGAGCAGGUCUGGAGGGAAGAUCUGAGGCAAAGAGAGAGCCUGUCACCUGUGCUGCCUUGAGAUGCUGAUGUCUGAGGAUGCCCCAUACAGGGCCUGUGGCUAUCUUCUGAAAUAGUGCAGCACCUUCUCUGCUUCCUCCUCAACCCUCUCCUUCACGGCAGAACUCUGCCUCCUUCCUGUCCCCAUGGGCUUGUUUCAGCCCUGUGUUUGAUAAACUGAGCACCACAAGAACACAAACCACAUUCCUUUGUUCUUUCAUCACGUUAUCCCCAGCACUUAGCACAGUGCCUGGCACAAAGGAGGCAGUCUGUAAAUAUUUGUGUAAAGAAUGAAUAAAUGAGGGCAUGAGCACAUCUCCUUUGCCCAGGACGGA